GUCCACGCUGUAAACGAUGAGUGCUAGUUGUUGGGAAGUUUACUUCUCAGUGACGAAGCUAACGCGAUAAGCACUCCGCCUGGGGAGUACGGCCGCAAGGUUAAAACUCAAAGGAAUUGACGGGGGCCCCGCACAAGCGGUGGAGCAUGUGGUUUAAUUCGACGCAACGCGAAGAACCUUACCAACCCUUGACAUGUGUAUCGCGGAAACCAGAGACGGUUUCCUUCAGUUCGGCUGGAUACAACACAGGUGCUGCAUGGCUGUCGU
rnacentral:rRNA from 1 species